GAUGAAGAACGUAGCGAAAUGCGAUACGUAGUGUGAAUUGCAGAAUUCCGUGAACCAUCGAAUCUUUGAACGCAAAUUGCGCUCGAGGCCUCGGCCAAGAGCAUGUCUGCCUCAGCGUCGGCUACUACCCUCAACUAAGUUUCCUAUACACAUAGGGGAUGCCGGUUGGAUCUGGCCGUCCGGUUUGCCUUUUAGGUUGCCGGUCAGCUGAAAUACAUUCACGCUCUGGGGGCUGCUUUCCUUCCGAGGAGAGGCGAGUUCCGAUUUGGUAGGUGACCUUUGCCGGUUGCAUGCCUUCGUUGCCCGCUAAGCUUUCCAGUAUGCGUUGUGCAGGACGCCCUUUGGCUUUCGACCUGAGGUCAGGCAAGAACACCCGCUGAACUUAAGCAUAUCAAUAAGCGGAGGA
rnacentral:misc_RNA from 1 species